UCCACAGCAGCCUGGAGAACCUUGGGGAAGCCACUAGAUGCCUUGGCCCUCUACUCCUCAGCUGUAACACGGGGAGGCUGGGAGCACAGAGGUCCUUUCCUGCUCUGAUGAUCUCUGCAUUUAUGAACUGCAUUGAUAGCUGGUCGCAGUAGCUGUAUUGCUUUAUCUGUGAGGAGUUAUUAGGGUGCAUCCUCCACUACCUUUGUACCUCUCUUUCCCUUCUCUCCAUCUGCCUCACUGUUUCUUGGCCUCAUUCCCUUUAUCUCAUUUCCUUCAUCUUUAUCUUCAGGCCGAGGACUUCUAAGCUAGACUACACAUUGAUUCAGUGUCUUUUGAAUCAAGAGGGCCCACCUCUGCCACUUUCUAGUUCUGCCACUUCCUAGCUAUGUGACCUAAGCCAAAUUAUUUUGUUUCUCUGCAUAUCAAUUUCUUCAUCUAUAAAAAGGCAAUCGGGUUAGGGCUUUUGUAAAUAUCGCACAUAGUGUCUUGUAUGUGAAGGCUCCACGGAUAGAAGGCAUGGCAUGUUUAACAUGUGAAAAUUGGCAUACAUAAAGAACUCAUCUUUCUUCCCGCAGACCUCCUUCUGUCUCUGUUUCUGUUACCAGGGAUACUCUCCUCCGAAUUAUUGGGGUUUGGGGUUGAUGUCAGCUUGCCUUUUUUGUCCCCUUGUUCCCUCCAGUAUGUGUCUCCAGAAGCCUUCCUUUCCAUUCCUGUGGGGUCUGACAGUUGUUGGAAGAAGGCCUGCAGGUCCAGGGCCGAGCAGGGGCCUCCACCGUCUGCUGAGGGUCAUUACGAGGAUGAAAGGAG
rnacentral:lncRNA from 10 species